GAUCCUGGCUUAGGAUGAACGCUAGCGACAGGCCUAACACAUGCAAGUCGAGGGGCAGCGAAGAGGUAGCAAUACCUUUGUCGGCGACCGGCGCACGGGUGAGUAACGCGUAUGCAAUCCACCUGUAACAGGGGGAUAACCCGGAGAAAUCCGGACUAAUACCCCAUAAUAUGGGCGCUCCGCAUGGAGAGCCCAUUAAAGAGAGCAAUUUUGGUUACAGACGAGCAUGCGCUCCAUUAG
rnacentral:rRNA from 1 species